CAAGGUAGAGGAAAGUCCAUGCUCGCACCGGCUGAGAUGCCGGUAGUGAUUGCGCUGGGGGAAGCAAUAACCCCAGGUGCGCGGGAGCGCGCAACGGCGGGCCGAGCCCUCACGUAGGAGGAGGCCCCUAAGGUGCCACAGAGACGAGCUUGGCGGCGACGCCAAGAUGAAACGCGGUAAACCCCACAAGCGAGAAACCCAAAUUCGGUAGGGGAAGCGCCCGAGGCGAAUUCAAGCCGACGGAGCCGGGCAUUGCCCGAGAUAAAUUGCCGUCCUCGACAUAACAUGGCUUACCG
rnacentral:RNase_P_RNA from 1 species